GAGGAAAGUUGCAAAGAACUUUGAAGAGAGAGUUCAACAGGACGUGAAACCGUUUGCAGGGAAACAGAUGGACCCACGAAGUCCAGUUGAGUGUGGAAUUCACAUUUUAAGACUUUUUAAACAUUGGUUUAUAUCUUCUUUCGGAGAUUUGCUUAUGUUUUUGAUAGUCAAGAGAUGCAUUUUUCACACUCACGAUGGAGCUCUGACUCUUCAAACAAACCAAACUGCAUAUAGGCAGCUUGUGUAUGUAGUAAAGUUCCUGUACCUUUUAAUACAUACAAGAGUGUGCAGUAAGGUUUAUCUGAGGGGUUGGAUUUCUCACAUUUGUGAGUGUUUCAGUUUAUUGGAGAGUAUAUUUUAUAGGAAAGAAGCAAUUGGUUCUUUUCGACUCUUGCAGUUGAAAUUGUCAAUUGUUCGCUUUCCAAUAUAUAAAAUAUACUUGCUGAUGAUAAUCCAGAGUAAGUCGGUCGGUCAUCCAUCUGACCCGUCU
rnacentral:rRNA from 1 species